ensembl:lncRNA
AAGAGAGUGUACUGCGUCAGUUUCCUAGCUCUCCUGGACGUGAGGUUUCACGCCUCCAUUGCGGUGGGAGCUGUGACGGGACUUGCAGUGUCUCUGGCUUCCCCAGAAUUACUUUCUGCAGGCUGGUUGGCAGGUCCUGGCAUUUGUGGAAAGCCAAGAACACGUCUGUGUCCAGAUUCCUCCCCGGCUCCUGCCUGUCAGAGACGUCUGUGACAGCUUUCUUUCUCCUCUAAGGAGGAGGCAUGCAGUAGCGCGGCUGGGCUUAGUGGAUGGGAUGUGACAGGAGCAGCGGCUGAAGCAGGACUUGAAUCAGGAGCUCAGCUAACCGCUGGCACUUGUUCUGUAGUCCCCCAGGUCCUGCAGAGCUGCGCUGAGUUCAUUGAGCAGCACGGCGUGGUGCAGGGGAUCUACCGCCUGUCUGGCGUGGCGUCCAAGAUCCAGAAGCUACGGUAAGAGUGCUGCGACUGACACAGCUGUCAGUAGGGGCAUGUGCCAUGCUGCGGGCGUUCCGAGGCCUGCGCUGUGGGGCAGCUGUGUGCAGGCAGCGUGCGCUCAGCGGUGGUGCGCCAGGCUUGUGUCUGUUUGAUAGGAACACGGGGCGUUGAGUAGACUUGCUGGGGCAGGAAGUUCUCCUUCAGUCCUUGAGAGCAUUGGAAGGCUGUGGGGGACUGCGGUGUCAGCUCUCAUUCCCGUUUCCUCUUGUUGGCAGAGCCCUUUGGAGCAGCCCGCACUCCUCCUUGCUGCUCUGGGCUCCUGGCAUGUGAUUGUGGAGUAGGCAGCCAGUUGUCAGAGCGUUUCUUUUCUCCUGUGAAUCAGGAACCCCUUCCUUUUCUUGACUCUGUCGUGUAUUGCUUUGGACUUGUCUUCCUCUUUCUCAAAGCCCAAUGUUUUUGUGUCCUUCUCUCCAGCCACGAAUUUGAGUCGGAGCAGAUUCCGGAGCUAAGCGUCCGUGACGUUCACAGCGUGAGCUCCCUGUGCAAGAUGUACUUCAGGGAGCUCCCGACCCCUCUGCUGACCGAGCAGCUGUAUGGCAAGUUCUCGGUAAGCACAAGGCAAUGGCUUUCAUGUCCCUCUUCCCUGGGCCUCUUGGCAUGGCCUGUCGCAUACACACACGCCUGCGCACCUCAUGGUCUUUUUUUCUGAUUUUCUGUUAGCUCCAUGAGGUAGACUCGCAUGUCUUUGCCACAUCCUGCAGCAUACUGUUGCCACUAUUGGUGCUCAUUUCUGGAGGUGGUCAUUUCCAUAUUCACAAUGCUUGCGAGGAGCUGAGGUGCACA